rnacentral:rRNA from 1 species
AUAGGGGAGCCGCAGGGAAACCGAGUCUUAACUGGGCGAAUUAGUUGCAGGGUAUAGACCCGAAACCCGGUGAUCUAGCCAUGGGCAGGUUGAAGGUUGGGUAACACUAACUGGAGGACCGAACCGACUAAUGUUGAAAAAUUAGCGGAUGACUUGUGGCUGGGGGUGAAAGGCCAAUCAAACCGGGAGAUAGCUGGUUCUCCCCGAAAGCUAUUUAGGUAGCGCCUCGUGAACUCAUCUCCGGGGGUAGAGCACUGUUUCGGCUAGGGGGUCAUCCCGACUUACCAACCCGAUGCAAACUGCGAAUACCGGAGAAUGUUAUCACGGGAGACACACGGCGGGUGCUAACGUUCGUCGUGAAGAGGGAAACAACCCAGACCGCCGGCUAAGGUCCCAAAGUCAUAAUUAAGUGGGAAACGAAGUGGGAAGGCUCAGACAGCCAGGAUGUUGGCUUAGAAGCAGCCAUCAUUUAAAGAAAGCGUAAUAGCUCACUGGUCGAGUCGGCCUGCGCGGAAGAUGUAACGGGGCUAAAUUAUGCACCGAAGCCGCGGCAGCGAUAUGUAAAUAUUGUUGGGUAGGGGAGCGUUCUGUAAGCCUGUGAAGGUGACCUGUGAGGGUUGCUGGAGGUAUCAGAAGUGCGAAUGCUGACAUAAGUAACGAUAAUGCGGGUGAAAAACCCGCACGCCGGAAGACCAAGGGUUCCUGUCCAACGUUAAUCGGGGCAGGGUGAGUCGACCCCUAAGGCGAGGCUGAAAAGCGUAGUCGAUGGGCAACGGGUUAAUAUUCCCGUACUGGUGGUAACUGCGAAGGGGGGACGGAGAAAGCUAAAUCAUCCGGGCGACGGUUGUCCCGGUUUAAGCGUGCAGGUGGACUGACCAGGCAAAUCCGGUCGGUUGUUAACACUGAGGCGUGACGACGAGCCACUACGGUGGUGAAGUGAUUGAUGCUCUGCUUCCGGGAAAAGCCUCUAAGCUCCAGGUUACCAUUAAUCGUACCCCAAACCGACACAGGUGGUCAGGUAGAGAAUACUCAGGCGCUUGAGAGAACUCGGGUGAAGGAACUAGGCAAAAUGGUGCCGUAACUUCGGGAGAAGGCACGCUGGCA